GGUGAGAUGGCCGAGUUGGUUAUGGCGUAAGAUUAAGGUACAUGCCUGUUUUCUUAUGGAGCAAUCCGCCUGGGUUCGAGUCCCAGUCUCAUCA
rnacentral:tRNA from 1 species